UGUGGAGUAGAAGCAAAGAGGGAUUGUGGCGGGCAGGGUGGGAAUGGGAAGGAUGAAAUAUUAGAAUGUCCAGAGAAAGUUGCACUGCGAUACUUUUCAGCAAAGACUUAAAUGAGAUAAUAGAAGAGGCCACUGUGCUCUUCAACGGAGGCUUUAUAAACAUGUUCCAGAUACAACAGCAAGUACAAACGCCCCAAGGUGGGAGCAUUGGCUCGUUGAGAAAAACUCAGGAGGAUAGUGUGACUGGAGCAGAGGGAAAGGGGAAGAAUGCUGAGACAGCAGGUCAAGCAGGCAAUCCAAUCGAAUAUCGUCAGCCACCAUAGGUGUUGAGAUGGAGAGCCACUGGAGCAAGGUUUGGAGCAAAGGAACACCAUAAUGUGACUUAAAAUUAAAAAAAAAAAAAUUCCAAAUGCUGUAGUGAGAAUAGACUGUAAAGACCAAUUAGGUGGCUAUUGCAAUAAUUCGGGUAAGGGAAUAUAAUGUGUUGGAUCAAGGAGGUGGUAGAGAUGAUGAUAAGUGGUUGAAUUCUGUAGUUAUUUGGGAGGCAAAACUUUCAGGAUCUGUGAAGGUUUGGAUAUGGAUUGUGUGAGGGAGAGAUGUCAAGGAAAACUAGGGGCUUCAUCCCGAGCAGCUGUCAGGAUGAAAUUACUAUUUACUGAAAUAGUGAAGAUGGUGGAAGGAGUAGAUUUGGAAAGGGGAAGAUCAUGAGUUCAGUUUGGGGCAGAUUAAGUUUUAUUUAUCUAAUCAACAUCCAAGAAGAUAGUAUGAGAAAAAGUGUCGGGAGCUGAGAGAAGAGUUGUGGGCUGCAAAUACAAAUUUAAGAGUUGUUAGCCUGUAGAUUGAAAGCCAUGAGACUGGAUGGACUCAUCAAGGGGUUGAAUAGAGACAGAUGAAAGAAUAAAUCCUAAAACAGCCCCAGGGUAUUUCAGUAUUACAGAAGCUGAGAAAAAGAGGAGGAGAAUGCUAAGAGAUUGAGAAGGAUUAAUCAGUAAACCAAGGAAGAAAAGGUAACACAAGGGUGUGAUACCUUGAAAGCCAGGUGAAAAAGAAAUGUUCCAUUGAGGGCAGACCAUCUGUGUUAAAUCCUGCUGACAGAUCAAAUAAGAUCUCUUGCUUUGAGAGAAGCCAUGUAAAUAAUUAGCAGUUCUGUAAAGAGGAUCACAUGGCAAGAAGCUGAAACAUUCUGACAGCAGCCCUGUGAAUGAACUUGGAAGUAGACCCUCCAGCCCUAAUCAAGUCUUCAGAGACUGUGCUCUCAGCCAACAAUUGACUGCAACCUCAUAAGAGACCCUGAGCCAGACUGCUCAACCGGAAACUAUACUAUGGAAAUUAUGUUAGA